GAUGAAGAACGCAGCGAAAUGCGAUAAAUAAUGUGAAUUGCAGAAUUCAGUGAAUCAUCGUGUCUUUGAACGCACAUUGCGCCCCCUGGUAUUCCGGGGGGCAUGCCUGUCCGAGCGUCAUUGCUGCCCUCAAGCACGGCUUGUGUGUUGGGCCUCCGUCCUCCUCCCGGGGGACGGGCCCGAAAGGCAGCGGCGGCACCGCGUCCGGUCCUCGAGCGUAUGGGGCUUCGUCACCCGCUCUUGUAGGCCCGGCCGGCGCUUGCCGACACAUCAAUCUUUUUUCCAGGUUGACCUCGGAUCAGGUAGGGAUACCCGCUGAACUUAAGCAUAUCAAUAAGCGGAGGA
rnacentral:misc_RNA from 1 species